CAAUGUGAUUUCUGCCCAGUGC
rnacentral:ncRNA from 2 species